CGCACUUCAGCUAAGAGGGUGCGAGAUUGAAAAAGCCCGCGGCGUCUUCUACACGCCACUUCGCUGGGCUCCUGUCUCUGUCGCUGAGAGGCACUCUGGAGAGUCUGCGGCAGCCUCUGUCACACAGGGACCUGCACUGGUCGUGGGAGCCGCAGAGAGGCCCCCGGGACACGGAGGAAUUCGGAAAAUGUCUCAGGUAUUUCUUUAUCAUGCUGCAAGAAUGGAAUAAUACAAGAAAAUUGGUACUGAGAAGUGGCGCAUUGCUAUCAAGAUAUCUGAAAAUGUGGAAUUGGUUUUGGAACUUCUUAACAGGCAGAGGUUUGGAAGAGUGUGGAGGGCUCAGAAGACAACAGGAAGAUGAGGGAGUUUGAGACUUUGUAGAGGCUUGCUGAAUGGUUGUGACCAAAAUGCUGAUAGUGAUAUAAAGUUCAGGCUGAGGAGGUCUCAGAUGGAAAGGACAAUACUUAUAAGUAUUUAUUGGGAACUGAAGCACAGGUCACUUUUGUUUUUCCUUAGCAAAGAGCUUGGCUGCAGUGUGCCUCUGCCCUAGGGAUAUGUGGAACUUUUUUUUUUUUAAUUUCGACCAAGUCACACUGUCACCCAGGCUGGAGUGCAGUGGCACAAUCUCGGCUCACUGCAGCCUCCGCCUCCUUGGUUCCAGCACUUCUCCCGCCUCAGCCUCCCGGGUAGCUGGGUUUAUAGGCAUGCGCCACCACACCUGGCUAAUUUUUGCAUUUUUCCUGGCUCGUAACUGUCACAGCCCCUGUUAUAGUGCUGUGGCACUGUAGGCUUCAGAGGCAGGACUGAGAAGACAGAAUUUCUCUCACUGACCUCCUGCUGUCCUUCACCUGCCCAAGGAAGGAGUCUAAUCUUCCCAGCUUUUCUGAUUGUGGGUCAUCAGACGCUCAUUUCAGAAGGGGUCCUGUCUCAUACCCUGGAGGAAGGAAUGCUACAUAGAGAAGCCAAAAAGAAUCUGAACAGACAGGGCUUGGUGGAUUUUCCCAUUCAGUCUAUCAGUAUUAGAUUCUACCUUUUUUGUCCAGCUAAUUUCUACAUAGUUAUGAAUCAUGCCUAUCCAAUGAGGUCUCAAGAAAAGGCCCCAGAGUACAGGAUUCAGAAAGCUCCCAGACAGCUCAACACAUGCAGGCUUAUAGGAAGGUAAACAAGAACUUAUCCAUCAGCUGGGAGGGUGGCACACCCUAACCCCAGAGACAGAAGCUACUGUGCUCAAGACCCUUCUAGACCUCACCCUAUGUAUCUCUUCACCUGGAUGUUUAUUUGUAUCCUUUAAAAUAUCCUUGGCUGGGUGCAGUGGCUCGUGCCUGUAAUCCCAGCACUUUGGGGGGCCAAGGUGGGUGGAUCACUUGAGGUCAGGAGCUCGUGACCAGCCUGGCCAACAUGGUGAAGCCCCGUCUCUACUAAAAAUACAAAAAUUAGCCAGGCGUGGUGGUGUGCACCUAUAAUCCCAGCUACUCGGGAGGCCAAGGCAGGAGAAUAGCUUGAAUCCGGGCAGUGGAGGUUACAGCGAGCUGAGAUCGCACCACUGCACUCCAGCAUGGGCCACAGAGUGUGAGACUCUUGUCUCAAAAAAAAAAAAUAAAAAGAAAGAAACCUGAGAGUUAGGUAUGGUGGCUCACACCUGUAAUCCCAGCACUUUGGGAGACCAAGAUGGGAAGAUCACUUGAGGCCAGGAGUUCAGCCUGGGCAACAUAGAGAGACUCCAUCUCUACAAAAAAAGAAAUGAAAGAAGACUGUGAAGAUGAGUAAGUGUUUCCCUGAGUUCUGCAAGCCACAAUAGCAAGUUAAACCCAAAGAGAGCACAAGAACUCCAACUUGAAACCUGUGGGUUAUAAUUGGUCCAGACUUACCACUGAUACCUGAAUGGUAGGGAGUGGCAGGCAGGGAGGGAGGGAUGUGGGGACUGAGCCAUCAACCUAUGGGCUCUGAAACUAUCUCCAGGGUAGAGAAUGUCAAAACUGAAUUGGAAGAGACCCAGUUGCUGUCCACUGCAGGAUACACUGCUUGCCUUUUGGUAGGGAGAAAACCCACGCUUUUGGUCACAAAAGUCUUCUGUGUUGAUUGUUGUUAUUGAAAGAAUAGAAAAAGCCCUUUGAGUGUGUUCUUUCCACACAGAAUUAGUAUUUCCAUAAUCAUUUAGUACACAAAAAAUCAUAAUUGAGUACUUUUUUAGGUGUUGCUAAAUGCUGUCCCACAGGAUUUAGCAUUAAUCUGCCAAGUUCACAUAACAGGAAACGAACUUAUCCACGGUCACAAAUUCUUCAACCUGAGAAGGAGAAGAACUGAGGUUAUGGAACAUCUUUGUAAUUCACCAGUAUAAUCCACCACACUUUCUUUUGAAAACAACUCAUUUUUUCUGUAACCAAAAUGGAAGAGAGGUUUUUUUCCCUAUUUCUUUUCCCUGGUAGUAUUUUCAUGCUAAGGCCUAGAAUUCCAUUUGAAAUCACCCAAUAGAAAAAGGAGCUGAGAAACUUACUACCCAGGCUCUGGGAAGAAAAAUAAGAAUUUUUAUAAGGGAAUACAAGACUAGACUUUUUUUUUCCUAAAACCUACCAAAACCUACCUUCUUCUGGCAUGUUUGGAAAUACUUUAACUUCUCCAUCCAUCUCUAAUAAUAUAGUGCAUUUUACAGUUAUUAAAAAACUGAAGCUGCUCUCCCUCGUCUCCCACUUUCCACGGUCUCCCUCUGAUGCUGAGCCUCUCCCUCGUCUCCCACUUUCCAUGGUCUCCCUCUGAUGCCGAGCCGAGGCUGGACUGUACUGCCGCCAUCUCGGCUCACUGCAACCUCCCUGCCUCAUUCUCCUGCCUCAGACUGCCGAGUGCCUGGGAUUGCAGGCGUGCGCCACCACGCCUGACUGGUUUUUGUAUUUUUUGGUGGAGACGGGGUUUCGCCGUGUUGGCUGGGCUGGUCUCCAGCUCCUGACCGCGAGUGAUCUGCCCGCCUUGGCCUCCCGAGGUGCCGGGAUUGCAGACGGAGUCUCGCUCACGCAGUGCUCAAUCUUGCCCAGGCUGGAGUGCAGUGGCGUGACCUGGGCUUGCUACAACCUCCACCUCCCAGCCGCCUGCCUUGGCCUCCCAAAGUGCCGAGAUUGCAGCCUCUGCCCGGCCGCCACCCCGUCUGGGAAGUGAGGAGCGUCUCUGCCUGGCCGCCCAUCAUCUGGGAUGCGAGGAGCCCCUCUGCCCGGCUGCCCAGUCUGGGAAGUGAGGAGCGCCUCUUCCCGGCCACCAUCCCAUCUAGGAAGUGAGGAGUGUCUCUGCCUGGCCGCCCAUGGUCUGGGAUGUGAGGAGCGCCUCUGCCCUGCCGCCCAGUCUGGGAAGUGAGGAGCGCCUCUUCCCGGCGCCAUCCCAUCUAGGAAGUGAGGAGCGUCUCUGCCUUGCCGCCCAUCGUCUGAGAUGUGGGGAGCGCCUCUGCCCCACUGCCCUGUCUAGGAUGUGAGGAGCGCCUCUACCCGGCCGUGACCCCGUCUGGGAACUGAGGAGUGUCUCUGCCUGAACACCACCCCGUCUGGGAGGUGACGAGCGUCUCUGCCUGGCCACCCCGUCUGAGAAGUGAGGAGCCCCUCCGCCCAGCAGCUGCCCUGUCUGGGAAAGUGAGGAGCCCCUCUGCCUGGCAGCUGCCCCGUCUGGGAAGUGAGGAGGGUCUCCGCCCGGCAGCUGCCCCGUCCGGGAGGGAGGUGGGGGGCAGCCCCCGACCAGCCAGCUGCCCUGUCCAGGAGGAAGGGAGGUGGGGGGCAGCCCCCGCCUGGCCAGCCGCCCCGUCUGGGAGGUGGGGGGGCGCCUCCGCCUGGCCUCCACCCCGUCUGGGAGGUGUACCCAACAGCUCACUGAGAACGGGCCAUGAUGACGAUGGCAGUUUUGUCGAAUAGAAAAGGGGGAAAUGUGGGGAAAAGAAAGAUAAGAUUGUUACUGUGUCUGUGUAGAUAGUAGUAGACAUAGGAGACUCCAUUUUGUUCUAUACUAAGAAAAAUUCUUCUGCCUUGGGAUGCUGUUAUCUAUAACCUUACCCCCAACCCCGUGCUCUCUGAAACAUGUGCUGUGUCCACUCAGGUUUAAAUGGAUUAAGGGCAGUGCAAGAUGCGCUUUGUUAAACAGAUGCUUCAAGGCAGCAUGCUCGUUAAGAGUCAUCACCACUCCCCAAUCUCAAGUACCCAGGAACACAAACACUGCAGAAGGCCGCAGGAUCCUCUGCCUAGGAAAACCAGAGACCCUUGUUCACAACUGUUUAUCUGCCGACCUUCCCUCCACUAUUGUCCUAUGACCCUGCCAAAUCCCCCUCUCCGAGAAACACCCAAGAAUGAUAAAUAAAUACUAAAAAAAGAAAAAAAAAUUCCCCCUUCCCAUACAAAUAUGCCUAGCUCAUAAAAGCAAUCCUAAAAGAAAAAAAAAAAAAAAACUGAAGCUGAUGGCUGGGCAUGGUGGCUCACGCCUGUAAUCCCAGCACUUUGGGAGGCUGAGGUGGGCAGAUCACCUGAGGUCGGGAGUUCGAGACCAGCCUGACCAACAUGGUGAAACCCCAUCUCUACUAAACAUACAAAAUUAGGUGGGCAUUGUGGCACAUGCCUGUAAUCCCAGCUACCUGGGAGACUGAGGCAGAAGAAUUACUUGAACCUGGGAGGCGGAGGUUGCGGCAAACCGAGAUCGCGUCAUUGCACUCCAGCCUGGGCAACAACAGUGAAACUCCGUCUCAAAAAAAAAAAAAAAAACCUGAAGCUGAAAUGAGUAAACCAAUUUUUUCAAGGUGAUAAACCCAGGGAGGGGCAGUGCUGACCUGAAACACUCAAGUGUCUGACUCAAGUGUCAGGUCACAUCAUCCUAUCACUUGGGACAUCCCCCCACCUCCAAGCUGCUCCCUGAAGUGCUCAGUGACCACCCUCCCAGAAGACACUCAACUGUGUGCUUUUCAGGUCCUUGCAACAACUCAUUGGGGGUGGUUUUCUUCUUUCACUAGACUGAGAGAAUCCAGAGGACAGAAAUCAUUUCUUCUUUUUUUUUUUUUUUUUUUGAGACGGAGUCUUGCCCUGUCGCCCAGGCUGGAGUGCAGUGGCGCAAUCUCAGCUCACUGCAACCUCCACCUCCCGGGUUCUAGCAAUUCUGCCUCAGCCUCACGAGUAGCUGAGAUUACAAGGGUGCACCACCACGCCCAGCUAAUUUUUGGAUUUUUAGUAGAGUCGGGGUUUCACCAUGUUGGCCAGGCUGGUCUUGAACUCCUGACCUCAGGUGAUCCACCCACCUUGGCCUCCCAAAGUGCUAGGAUUACAGGACAGAAAUAAUUUGGUUUCCUCCAUACCAGAAUUUGAUUGGCUGACUAGCCAUGUGUCCCCAAGGAAUGGAAACGGGUUGGAGAAGAAAAGGCGUGUCCCAAGGGAUUAGUUUUUUACAAUAAUGAUAUAGGAGACUGGUCCCACCCCAUAGCAUCCAGCUGCUCCCUGGGGAGGCCUCACCGCCACACCUCAGGCUCUUUGGGAGGAACGACCUAGGGGCUGAUAUUCACUAGACUUUCCCAAGAGACUUGGCAGCUGUAGGCAUCUUGGGCCAGCCCCAGGUAGUCCUGAAACCCAGGAUCAGGAAAAGGCAGAGGGUGGGCUGAGGUCGCAUCACUGUAAAGUUUCCAAAGGGGAAUCUCAACCCAAGACAUUCUCAGAAGGUGUCUGUGCCUAGGGCAGAUAAAAAGAGACACAAAGAUUGUUUACAGCGGAGUGUCAGGUGGUUUUUCUCUGAAACGUUCACAAACACAAAACAAAUAUUUUUAAAACGGCCAUAUACUGCCCUCUAAAAAAAUGACGAUUAAAAUACUGCCUGUGUUUGAAACAUAGCCUGGAGGACGAAGAAGUGAUACUGUUGUGAACUAAAGGAAAUCCGUGUUAUAAAAUGCGGAAAGGGAUCAGGAAAUCCCAAAUUUGCUGCCAGCCUUAGGAGAAGGUAGCCUAGGGACCACAGUCGCGGAUUUGAGACCCUGCUUCGCGUAUAUUUGGGAAACUCAGAUAAAAUACAAAAGCCCCUGGUGAGAAAGAGGGAACUGGGGACCCCACAGCCUACAGCUCCUCUCACACGAACCCCAUACUCGAGGCAGGAUUUCCCCCAUGACCCUCUAGUGGCCCCCGUACAAUCUGGGGAGACACGGAGGCAGCGGGCGUGACUGGGGCAGCGGGCGCGGAGCUGACCAGAGAGGGCGCUGGGCCUGGGGCCACAGUCAGUUGCACAGGGACUGGACCGGACGGCUAGGGGUCUCGGCUGCCGUCGCAGCCCCACCCUGCGGCCUGAGAGGAACCAGGGCCGAGGUGCGCCAGGGGGACUUGGGUCUCAGAACCCAGAGUCAACUACGAAGAGGCCCGGGUCCCGCCACGGUCUAUUCCUGCCGGUUCCAACCAGUCCCAUCCUAGUCUCGGGACCCUCAGCCCCGCACACUCACCAAUUCCUGGCUUCCAGGUGUCCCAGUCCUCCCUACGGCUCCUGCUGCCAGUACGGGUCCCAGUGUGACAGAGGAUGCUACAGACACGUCUGUGGGUGUCUGUCAGCUACAGAGUAGGAGCCGCAUUUAGAGGGGUGAAGAUGCCGCGCACCCACCUCCCUGCAGUGCGCCUGAUCCACAGUUCUCACGACCCCACCCCAUGGCCCUGAUUGGAUACGGCUCCAGGUCCCGCCCCCUGGAGACCGAGUAACAGAAGAGGCGAUCUCACUGUGCUGAGUGGAGCGCGAUGAACAGGUUCCAGACACAGCCCUUGGCAGGCGGGCUUCCUCCCAGUGCAGUGACCCGACUCUCCUGGGGAGAAAUGUGCACUUAAGCAGAAUUUCCUGACUGAUUGUACUAAUGGCCCUUCCUGCUUCUUUUUCCUGGACCAGCAAUCACAAGUGUGUGCUAGGAAUCCCAGACUCACUGUCCAGUGGCGCCAUCUCCUGGCCUUGGAGCAGGAGGGGGGCUCUGUCCUCCAGGAAUCAGGAAUUUGGCAUGAGGCUGCUGGCGACAUAGUCAAGCCUUUCUCCCAUCUGAUGUCUCAAUCUGCUUAUUUUCAAGAAAAUAAAAACACAUCGAUAACAGGAUAAAACUGUUAAAUUCACGGAAAAGCUGGACUUAUAUGACAGCAAUAUUCUAUAAAGGAAUCAAUAGAGAGAAAAAGCAAAAACAUGAGCUAGCUCAGAGAAGCAGUCUUUCAGACGCAGUUCAGCAGGAAAACCCCAAUUUAGAGGUUAAACAUAUUCCCAACCAUGGGUGCCAGACUGUUGAAAUGGGUCCCCAGAGGCCGGGUGCGGUGGCUCACACCUGUAAUCCCAGCAUUUUGGGAGGCCAAUGCGGAUGGAUCACCUGAGGUCAGGAGUUCGAGACAAACCUUGCCAAUACGGUGAAACCCCGUCUCUACUAAAAAUACAAAAAUUAGCCAGGCAUGAUGGUGGGCGCCUGUAAUCCCAGCUACUCAGGAGGCUGAGGCAGGAGAAUCGCUUGAACCCGGGGUGGGGCGGCGGGGGGAGCGGACAGAGGUUGCAGUGAGCCAAGAUUGUGCCACUUCACUCCAGCCUGGGCGAAAGAGCAAAACUCUGUCUCAAAAAAGAAAAAAGAUAAGAAAAAGAAAUGGGUCCCCAGAGUGUCCCUGCCUCAUUACCAAGUCAUGGUGAUGAGGCAAGAUACAUAAGGAUUCAGCUCUGGGAGUUCAACUUGCCCUCUUGUCCCCUCUGCAGAGUGUGGCUAUGCUCCCUCCUUUAAGUGUUAAUAAAAGUUUCCAAUCAAAAGCCAAGAAACUAGACACUGAUUUUGAAAACAUAAGGAAUUCCUCGUAUUUUAUGAAAAACAAAGCUAUUAGUCAUACAGAACACGAAUAGUACAAUGGCAGACAUAAUGCCUUCGUUAUCGGUAAUUAAAUGGAAUAAACUUGCCAAACAAAAGACAGAGGCAGGGAGAAUGAAUCUUUAAAAUAUGAUCAAAUUGUAUCCUGUCUACAGCACAUUCAUUGUAGAUCUCAAUACCCAAGUCAGUUGAAAGAGAAUGAAAGAAAAAGAUAUUCCAUGCAAAUAGUAAUGUAAAGAGAGCAGGGGUGGCUAUACAAUUGUCACACAAAAUAGACUAAGUCAAAAACUGUUAAAAGACACAAAGAAGAGCACUAUAAAAGGCUCAAAUCAUACAGAAUAUAUAACAGUUAUAAAUAUAAUUGCACUAAAUAACAGAGGCCCAAAAUAUAUGAAGCAAACAUUUUAAAAAUUUAAAAGGAAGGUCAGGUGUGGUGGCUCACCCCUGUAAUCCCAGC
rnacentral:lncRNA from 1 species